AACGAACGCUGGCGGCAGGCUUAACACAUGCAAGUCGAACGCCCCGCAAGGGGAGUGGCAGACGGGUGAGUAACGCGUGGGAAUCUACCCAGUUCUACGGAACAAAUGAGGGAAACUUCAGCUAAUACCGUAUACGCCCUACGGGGGAAAGAUUUAACGGAAUUGGAUGAGCCCGCGUUGGAUUAGCUAGUUGGUGAGGUAACGGCGAACCAAGGCGACGAUCCAUAGCUGGUCUGAGAGGAUGAUCAGCUACACUGGGACUGAGACACGGCCCAGACUCCUCCGGGAGGCAGCAGUGGGGAAUAUUGGACAAAGGGCGAAAGCCUGAUCCAGCAAUGCCGCGUGAGUGAUGAAGGCCUUAGGGUUGUAAAGCUCUUUCAGUGGGGAAGAUAAUGACGGUACCCACAGAAGAAGCCCCGGCUAACUUCGUGCCAGCCGCCGCAGUAAAAC
rnacentral:rRNA from 1 species